rnacentral:rRNA from 1 species
CCUUGAAAUACCACCCUUUAAUGGCUGGUGUUCUAACGUAGACCCGUAAUCCGGGUUGCGGACAGUGUCUGGUGGGUAGUUUGACUGGGGCGGUCUCCUCCCAAAGAGUAACGGAGGAGCACGAAGGUUGGCUAAUCCUGGUCGGACAUCAGGAGGUUAGUGCAAUGGCAUAAGCCAGCUUGACUGCGAGCGUGACGGCGCGAGCAGGUGCGAAAGCAGGUCAUAGUGAUCCGGUGGUUCUGAAUGGAAGGGCCAUCGCUCAACGGAUAAAAGGUACUCCGGGGAUAACAGGCUGAUACCGCCCAAGAGUUCAUAUCGACGGCGGUGUUUGGCACCUCGAUGUCGGCUCAUCACAUCCUGGGGCUGAAGUAGGUCCCAAGGGUAUGGCUGUUCGCCAUUUAAAGUGGUACGCGAGCUGGGUUUAGAACGUCGUGAGACAGUUCGGUCCCUAUCUGCCGUGGGCGCUGGAGAAUUGAGGGGGGCUGCUCCUAGUACGAGAGGACCGGAGUGGACGCAUCACUGGUGUUCGGGUUGUCAUGCCAAUGGCACUGCCCGGUAGCUAAAUGCGGAAGAGAUAAGUGCUGAAAGCAUCUAAGCACGAAACUUGCCCCGAGAUGAGUUCUCCCUGAGACUUUAAGUCUCCUGAAGGAACGUUGAAGACGACGACGUUGAUAGGUCGGGUGUGUAAGCGCAGCGAUGCGUUGAGCUAACCGAUACUAAUGAACCGUGAGGCUUAACCUU